rnacentral:rRNA from 1 species
UACGUAGGGUGCAAGCGUUGUCCGGAUUUAUUGGGCGUAAAGAGCGCGUAGGCGGCCCGGAAAGUCGGAUGUGAAAACCCGGGGCUCAACCCCGGGCCUGCAUCCGAUACUCCCGGGCUGGAGGCAGGUAGGGGAGAUCGGAAUUCCUGGUGUAGCGGUGAAAUGCGCAGAUAUCAGGAGGAACACCGGUGGCGAAGGCGGAUCUCUGGGCCUUACCUGACGCUGAGGCGCGAAAGCUAGGGGGAGCGAACAGG